AGAGCUGAAGACAGAAGACCGCUUCCGGCGCCCGCUGCGAAUCGCGUUUCCGGAGACUGCCCUCAGUGCAACACAUAAAGUUCUCCCUCCAGAGCUCACAUGGGAGGCGUGACUUUGGUUCCGUUGGCCAAGGUCUCCAGCAUGUUGCCUAGCAUUGUUCUCCAGCUCUUUUGCGGCGGAAGGAAGCUCCUGAGGUUCCGACGGAACCGCAAGGGCGGGAAGCCAAGAGGGAAGCGCGACGCCCAGGAGAGUGGAGGAGAGAUCGACGCCUUGGACAUGGAAACGAUUUAAACAUGUGAUUAUUUUAAAAUGUACAAAAACAUGAGACUGGAAAAAUUUAAACAUUGGAUAUCUGAUUAUAUUAAGGAAUUAUGUUUAAUUUUUGCAUGUGAUAGUAGCAUUAUGAUUACGUAAAGAUCCUCAUCUUUUGGAUAUAUACUGACAUAUUUACAGAUGAAAACUAUAAUGGGACAUUUCAAAGAUGACAGAGGGAUUCACUCAUAGACUCUCUGGGUUGUAGAACUAAUUAUUUGGGGAAAGGGAACUGCUCACUUGGGCAACUUGGAUAACUGUAGAUUCCUCCGAGAAAAGGAAGAUAAAUAUUAAAUGUUAUUGGGACCCCUGGAUUAAGUCAGUAUUCCUUGAGGUCGGCUGUCAAAAGCAGACAGUAGGGGUUCUAAAGAGGAGCUCAUGAUAAUGCAAAGGGGAGUCUGGGCAGUUCAUUAGAGCUAAGUGCCUUAGGAUGCUGAAGAAGACUGAUUCCAGUGAAGUGGGUGUCAAGACACCUCACUCCUCGAGAGCCAACUGCCUUACCAAGAUGUAGCUUUGGGGAACGAUCUCUGAUCAUGUGAACGUUAACUAAAACAGUGGUGACGUUAGAGCCCAGGACCAAAGUUUGACAUAUGGAAUAACCUCUUAUCUUACUGUUUUAUUUCCAUUUCACUUCGUUUAUGAAAAUGUUUUGGCAGCCUAUUCAGAUUUGGGUUGAGUGACUAAUGUAAAUAUACUUGUACUUGAGAGGGAUAAAGAGAGUAUAUUUACUAAUGUAAAUAUACUUGUGCUUGAAAGGGAUAAGGAGGGUCUGUCUCUACACAGAUCAGUGUACUCUCUUGGGUUCCUUCCAGUUCUAAAAUGUAAUUAUUUUAUUAUGAAACAAAAGUAACUUGUUAGCUAAUUUGAAUAUCUGACUCAUACACUCUUGAACAAAAAAAAAAAUCUUGAUUUAUUUUAUAGUUCUGGCACAGAGCCUCAAACACUUUGGAUGUUAAGAUCAUUAAGAAGCAUAUGAUAACAGAAUGAGAGCUUGUUAUUUAGUCCUUGACAUGUUGUACUUACUUGUGAUUUCAUUUGUACCCCGGAUUUCUCAAUAGCAGUGCACAUUUUCAGCCAUAUUUGUGGUAUGACUUAAAAGUGAACAAGUUGCUAAUUAUUUGUAAACGUUAUUUAAAUUAAAAAAGAGGGGAAAAGAGCAUCUCACUGUACUAUUAACUUAUUUAUUAGGCUUAUUUUAAUAGUUUAGUGGGUAAGCUCCUUAAAGGUAGAGAAUUUUUUUUUUCUGUUUUGUUCAUUAAUACAUAACAAGCACCCAGAACAGUAUCUGGAACAAAAGGGGUGCUUAAUAAACAUUUGUUUAAAAAAAAAGUUACAUUUAAGUAAUAAAAUGCUAAAAAUGUGGAAUGUUCUCUCUUUUUUUUAUGUUAGUCAUGUUCCCUCCCAAAGUAAUGAGUUGUGUACUUUAGCAUCUCCAAUAUUUAAACUUCCUCCUGUAAGAAGAUGUGUCUCUCUGUCCUUUGCCCAAGACUUGCAGUAAAUCCUUCAUAGUGGAGCACGAAUAGGAAGCGUUUGACUUACUUUGGCCAGUGCAUAUAAGCAAACAUGAUGUUCAGCAAGUCCCAGCAGAUGCUUAAGAGCCAUUAUCUGUUUCUACCAACUCUCUUGCUCUUUUCUGUUGCCAAAAGAGAAAGGACAAAAGAAACUGCCUAUUCAGCUACACCCUGAGCUUCUCUGGAAAAAGGCUGAGUCUUUCUUUUCUAUCCCCAGUGUUUGACUGAAGGCUUGUUCCACAGUUCUAUGGCCAGGGUUGCCCUUCCCACUGGUGUUUGGAGGAUUCUGAGUGGAAGGUGUGAGGAAAGUUCAAGAGGGGAAACAAGAAAAGACUAGUGAUAUAAUUUAAGAAAAGGAUGACUGCAAUGCAUCCUGAAGCUGCCUAUCUCCAAAUAUUCUCUCCUAUAGGCAGGGCCAACAGGAAAAGAGUUCUCCUGCUACACUUUUGGAUUUUCCUCUUGAGUAAUGCUUAUGCAAUUACAGCUGAGAAUUACUGCCAAUUAAGCCAGUCAUCAAUGUUACGGAAGCUUCCCUCAACAUUUGAAGAGUAGUACUUCCCCUGCAUUAUAAAUUUAUAUUAAACAAUAAAAACUUAGAAAAAUAAGUUAAGAAACUCUUCUGUAAUUAAAAGAUAACUAUUUGUGAUCUUCUGUGUCACAGUUAGAGUUAAUGUUUCAUCUACUUAAUAAAGAUGAUUUAUUUGGUGCUGUGAAAUAUGACCAUAAUAAAGAUGAUUUACUGUUU